rnacentral:rRNA from 1 species
UAGGGAAUCUUCGGCAAUGGGGGGAACCCUGACCGAGCAACGCCGCGUGAGUGAAGAAGGUUUUCGGAUCGUAAGGCUCUGUUGUUAAGGAAGAACGAGUGUGAGAAUGGAAAGUUCAUACUGUGACGGUACUUAACCAGAAAGGGACGGCUAACUACGUGCCAGCAGCCGCGGUAAUACGUAGGUCCCGAGCGUUGUCCGGAUUUAUUGGGCGUAAAGCGAGCGCAGGCGGUUAGAUAAGUCUGAAGUUAAAGGCAGUGGCUCAACCAUUGUAGGCUUUGGAAACUGUUUAACUUGAGUGCAGAAGGGGAGAGUGGAAUUCCAUGUGUAGCGGUGAAAUGCGUAGAUAUAUGGAGGAACACCGGUGGCGAAAGCGGCUCUCUGGUCUGUAACUGACGCUGAGGCUCGAAAGCGUGGGGAGCGAACAGG